UUUGAUCCUGGCUCAGGAUGAACGCUGGCGGCGUGCUUAACACAUGCAAGUCGAACGGUGAAGCCCAGCUUGCUGGGUGGAUCAGUGGCGAACGGGUGAGUAACACGUGAGCAAUCUGCCCCUGACUCUGGGAUAAGCGCUGGAAACGGCGUCUAAUACUGGAUAUGAGCUGCGAUCGCAUGGUCAGUAGCUGGAAAGAUUUUUUGGUCAGGGAUGAGCUCGCGGCCUAUCAGCUUGUUGGUGAGGUAAUGGCUCACCAAGGCGUCGACGGGUAGCCGGCCUGAGAGGGUGACCGGCCACACUGGGACUGAGACACGGCCCAGACUCCUACGGGAGGCAGCAGUGGGGAAUAUUGCACAAUGGGCGCAAGCCUGAUGCAGCAACGCCGCGUGAGGGAUGACGGCCUUCGGGUUGUAAACCUCUUUUAGCAGGGAAGAAGCGAAAGUGACGGUACCUGCAGAAAAAGCGCCGGCUAACUACGUGCCAGCAGCCGCGGUAAUACGUAGGGCGCAAGCGUUAUCCGGAAUUAUUGGGCGUAAAGAGCUCGUAGGCGGUUUGUCGCGUCUGCUGUGAAAUCCCGAGGCUCAACCUCGGGUCUGCAGUGGGUACGGGCAGACUAGAGUGCGGUAGGGGAGAUUGGAAUUCCUGGUGUAGCGGUGGAAUGCGCAGAUAUCAGGAGGAACACCGAUGGCGAAGGCAGAUCUCUGGGCCGUAACUGACGCUGAGGAGCGAAAGGGUGGGGAGCAAACAGGCUUAGAUACCCUGGUAGUCCACCCCGUAAACGUUGGGAACUAGUUGUGGGGUCCAUUCCACGGAUUCCGUGACGCAGCUAACGCAUUAAGUUCCCCGCCUGGGGAGUACGGCCGCAAGGCU
rnacentral:rRNA from 1 species